rnacentral:rRNA from 1 species
GUAGGUCCCGAGCGUUGUCCGGAUUUAUUGGGCGUAAAGCGAGCGCAGGUGGUUUAUUAAGUCUGGUGUAAAAGGCAGUGGCUCAACCAUUGUAUGCAUUGGAAACUGGUAGACUUGAGUGCAGGAGAGGAGAGUGGAAUUCCAUGUGUAGCGGUGAAAUGCGUAGAUAUAUGGAGGAACACCGGUGGCGAAAGCGGCUCUCUGGCCUGUAACUGACACUGAGGCUCGAAAGCGUGGGGGGAGCAAACAGGAUUAGAUACCCUGGUAGUCCACGCCCGUAAACCGAUGAGUGCUAGAUGUAGGGAGCUAUAAGUUCUCUGUAUCGCAGCUAACGCAAUAAGCACUCCGCCUGGGGAGUACGACCGCAAGGUUG